UAAAUAUUGACUUUAUUUUUAUAAAAUGAUGAAAUGAAAUAAGAUGUAAACGAAUAUGAAAGUAUAUAAACACAUACACACAAAACAUUAAAGAUAACGAAAUGGAAAAAAUUAGAACAACCUUGCGUAUAGCAUACGUACGCAUAUAAAGAUGAUAAAACACUCAAGUAAUAUAUAUAAAAACAGUGGAAUUUUACAGUUCAGAAUUGCAAUUUUAUACAAAUUUUAUGUUUUAACAAACAUAUUUUAUCAAUGUAAAGAAAUAAACAGUUGCGUCUCUGUUAACUAUGUAUAGAAAUAUGCAUUUGAAUAUAAAUACUCACUGCAUAUUUCAAUUUCUUUCUGUUAAUCUUAAAUAACAUUUUUACGAUGUCGAUGCUGUUAAAACAAUUUGCCGUAUAUAUAUAUACAAAACUUGUAUAUACUUUUUACAGCUAUAUCAGUUCAAUUCAGCAGCCUGACGUUUCUACUAAGCGUCUUUGUUAUACAUCAGCUAUACUGAUUGAACCAGGAAUAUUCUUCCUUUUGGUGUUUGACAUUUGCUGCUUGGACUUUGUGCACCAUUGUAUUUUUUUUUAUUCACAUGAAAUUUGUAGAUCAGCCAUAUGUGAUAAAAGAGAGGUAAUCACCUACGCAGGGUUAAAUAAAAUACAGUGUUUGUUUUAUGUUUUUAAAUUUUUAUGUUUUUUUUUCUCUGUUAUCUCUUAACUACUGUUAUCAUGUGUUAAAAUCUUUAGAAUGAAAUUUUAAAUCUUAUAUUAAUCACACGUGUUUGUUUAUAUGAAAACAUUUUGCUUGUUGGUUACUUAACGUUAUCUAUUCUUGUUUUUACCUAUACGUUUUACCCUUGCAAAAUGGGCUACUAAUCAGUUGAAAUAGUCACAUACACGUCACAUUUUAAGGAAAUAAUGGCUUAUGGCAGGUCAUUGUCAAAAUUACAAAUACAACAAGAUUUAAUUCAAUUUACACUUGUCAUUUCAAACUAUCGUCAAUUAUAUAACUAAAUGCUUUGAAAUGGGAAUUGAAAUAUCACAAAUCAGAUUUAAUAUUACUUAAAUGCAUUCAACGGCUAUUGAUACUGACGAAAGCCAAAUGAUUAUGUACAGACACACGUAUUGUUCAAGAACUUUGUUAAAAGAAUAUCUAAAAUAAUUGAUAGUUUAUGUAGAUUACCAUCUAAUACAUGGACAAUAUUAUUAUAAUAUAUUUUUAAUAUUGGUGUAUGAAUAAUAUUUUUUCACAUAAUAAACAGUAAAAAGCA